CGUUCAGUGGGCUGCGCGGCCGUUGCGACGAGCUGCAUUGCUGAUUCUUCGCUUGAGACUGGCAAUUGUCGAGCGGGUUGCAUCCGUUGUUACGUUGCCCGAAGACAGUAGUAAAUGUGAUUUGCAGGGUGCAAGCAACGUGUCAUUGUGGUUAGAAAAAAAUGAAUCAGUAUACAUGUGAUUUAACUGUCAAAGCCGGAAUGUUUAAAGCAUACAUCCCGCCCAAGGCAUGCUGGGAUGAUCUCCUAUCAGGCAGCUUGGAAAUUUCCAGACGCCGAUAUGCCUUACGUUCGGUGCAGCCGAGGCAAUGAACUGUCAAGUGGAAUAUGCCCCUUGAGGAAAACAAUUAGGAUCGACUGUCCAGCGAGGAGACUGCGGAAUCAGCAACUGACAUAUUGACUGAUGAAACAUGAUGGUGCGUGCAGCAAGAGAGGGUUUGACUGCAGAUCCUG